CUUAUGAGGAAAUUACUUUUUAGCAAAGCUAAGCAUUUUGUUGAGUCAUGCAAUCUGAAAGAUCAGGGUCAAGUACUUUUUCACCAUGAAACAAAUAAUAACAUUUUGAAAAGAAAGCUUAGUUACCGUUGGUAAUUCUGAGCUUAUUAGUAUUAGCAGAAAUGCAGCUCAAAAUAGAAAAAAAGUGUAUCCAUACCAAACCUGAAAGUUUCCUUUCUCUAAUCUCCCUGCAGCACUGGAAGCCUAACCAGCCCUGCUAACUCAAGAUGAUUAUUACAGUAAUGUACUGCAGAGCAUAACAAACUUUGAAAUGUACUGACUGACCCAAAAACCAUAUCACACUUCUCAGCAUGUUACUGAAAACCUACCAAAGGAUGUUAACGCAUAAAGAGGCCAUUUGAUUCGCAAGAUGGUAUACUGUGUUUAAUAUAAGUCUGGAGCUAUCUGAAGGACUAUUUUAAACCAUAUGAAAGGUAUAAUACUAUGUUUCUAUAGAAUGCUGGAAUUCUAAAACAGGAUAGUGUGGCCACGUGAAGUGCCAUGGUCCCUACACCACUAGAUUUGAAUGUCAAUUAUGUUUUUGUGUACCUCACAUGGGAAAUCUCUUCAGGUUAGCAGCGUGGAGCGGACCUUUUCCAAAUACCUGACCCUUUUCAGCUGAUCAGAGAAAGGGGGCUGGAUGUCUUGAGGCAACCCAUGUCCCAGAGAGACUUUCUGCAGUAGGCCUGAUUCCUGACUGCACAAAACACAAAAAUAUCUACCCACGAAGAAGGAAGUAAAGACCAGGGUAGCUUGGUCUUUUUGAAUUUAGUUGCCAUGCCAUACUCCAUGAAGAUGAGCAGGAGUACCAGGCACUGAGUUCAUAUAUAUUUUGGCCAGCCUGAUUCUGCUUGACAGCUCUAAUUAUUCUGGGGCUGAACUAAGCAUCUCUUUGUGGUCAUGGUUUCAGUUUCUCCUCUGCAGCAGGAAUGUCUGGAGUUGCUUGCCUACAAGGCAGGUCAGUAUCAUUAACCUCACCUUAGAGGCACAAAAAAGUGAAGUGUCGUCAGAGGUCACCCAGCAGCGUCAGCACCAGGAAUAGAACCCAUGGCUCCGGUAUCCCAGGCUAACUCAUGACUCACAUUGACCCCCUUGCCUGCAGCUCUGAAGGCAGAAGGAGAACUGUCUGGGGUCUCCAGAGGCUGGGCCAUACAACACUUCCUGCCAGUGAAUGGCAGAUCUUGUUCCACCCUCCAAUGCUACAAGUAGGAUGAAGACUCACUGGAACAGAACUGUGGGCCUCAGUAUGGGAGAGAAAGUGACUUUAUGACACAAAGCAUGGGAGCUCGAUAUUUGAGACUAACUACUAUAAAUCUUUGUGAAAGAAAAAUGUGGCACUGGGGGGGGUACAGCGUAAAGUUACAAGAGACCGAGUACUCAAGCUUGCUGCAAGGUGAUGGGAAUCAAUGAGAAGUGUUGAAGGCAACACUCAAUAUGGAAAACUGCAAGAAAUCUCCCAAUAGCAGAAGAAGGGAGCAGAAGUGCAACAAACAUCUCCCAAUAGCAGAAGGCAGGGAGGUGUAACAAAUUAAAGAGGAUCUGAACUGAAGAUUCAUCACAACAGCAUGAGAGAUAAUGACAUCAACAUCUCAAGUGGAAGCAGGGAGGUGUCCUUCCUUGCCUUGUCAAACUCUUGCAGGAUGAACAAGAACCCUGACCUCAGGUCCUAGAGUAGACAAGUAAAAACUAAAUUUUCAAA